rnacentral:tRNA from 2 species
GCUGUUAUGGCUCAGCAGGUAGAGCACGUCCUUGGUAAGGACGAGGUCGCGGGUUCAAAUCCCGCUAACAGCUCCA